rnacentral:rRNA from 1 species
AGUGAGUGGCGAACUGGUGAGUAACACGUGGGAAACCUGCCCAGAAGCGGGGGAUAACACCUGGAAACAGAUGCUAAUACCGCAUAACAACUUGGACCGCAUGGUCCGAGCUUGAAAGAUGGCUUCGGCUAUCACUUUUGGAUGGUCCCGCGGCGUAUUAGCUAGAUGGUGGGGUAACGGCUCACCAUGGCAAUGAUACGUAGCCGACCUGAGAGGGUAAUCGGCCACAUUGGGACUGAGACACGGCCCAAACUCCUACGGGAGGCAGCAGUAGGGAAUCUUCCACAAUGGACGAAAGUCUGAUGGAGCAACGCCGCGUGAGUGAAGAAGGGUUUCGGCUCGUAAAACUCUGUUGUUAAAGAAGAACAUAUCUGAGAGUAACUGUUCAGGUAUUGACGGUAUUUAACCAGAAAGCCACGGCUAACUACGUGCCAGCAGCCGCGGUAAUACGUAGGUGGCAAGCGUUGUCCGGAUUUAUUGGGCGUAAAGCGAGCGCAGGCGGUUUUUUAAGUCUGAUGUGAAAGCCUUCGGCUCAACCGAAGAAGUGCAUCGGAAACUGGGAAACUUGAGUGCAGAAGAGGACAGUG